rnacentral:lncRNA from 1 species
UUGGCAUCGAACACCUAAGUUCAAUAUAUUACAAAGCAAUAAGCAUUAAGGGUCUCAAAUGUAAGAAUCCAUCAAUAAAUUAUACAAGUAAUUUGAUUAUCCUAGAAGAAUACAAACAGUCAGAUGUGCCAUUAUUCAAUAUGAUGUCAAAUUGCGAAUAAGCCUACCUAAAUAACAUAGGCUUUUUGGCUUCUAACGUUCUGAGGCUUUAGGACAGGUAUGUAUUUC